GGAAGGAUGUCCAAGAAAAGCUUCUAAGCUUUGAAGCACACGUGACCGUACUAAAACUGACACAGGUAGGCGAGAUGAGUAGUCUCAGGCGCUCGGGAGAACGGUGGUUAAGGAACUCUGCAAAAUGGCUCCGUAAGUUCGCGAUAAGGGGCGCCUACGUAAGUAGGCCACAGAAAAUCGGCACUAGCGACUGUUUAUCAAAAACACAGGUCUCUGCCAACUCGUAAGAGGACGUAUAGAGACUGACGCCUGCCCGGUGCUGGUAGGUUAAGGAAGGCGGUUAGCAUCUUCGGAUGCGAAGCUGGCGACCGAAGCCCCAGUAAACGGCGGCCCUAACUAUGAGGGUCCUAAGGUAGCGAAGUUCCUUGUCGGGUAAGUUCCGACCUGCAUGAAAGGCGUAACGACUGGUGCACUGUCUCAACCACCGACCCGGUGAAAUUGUAGUCGUGGUGAAGAUGCCACGUACCCGCGGU
rnacentral:rRNA from 1 species